CGGCGUGGUAGACAAAAAACUAUCAAGAAAAAUAGAAAAUGUGGUUUUUAUUUAUCCCUCAAUAAAAUAAAAUGAUUCAUUAAUUAAUAAUUGUUAAAUAAAAACAAUAUAUUUUUAAAAGUGUUAUCUUGAAAUAGUGUGAAGCAGAAAAAACUAGAAUGCGAAAAAAUGAAAUAAGUACGUUCCAAACCAUGGCCAAACAAUAAAAGGUGCUCUAAUUUGUAAAAGAACCACAAAUCAUAUGGUGCAAUCCGCCAUCUUGCCAUCAAGCUGAUAGACAUUUUGCGACGUUUUGCAUACGUGUGCGUACAUGAGAAUGCAAACAAAAAUCUGGCGGCUGUUAACAGCUUUUCGCGUGAGACCACAUUUAUAAAUCCGCCUUGGUUCCAAACGAAACAAAUUUGAGGACAUGGAAGAAGACUAUAUUGGCUUGGAAAUCGAUGCUGAUGACGGAAGAUAACAAAUGCAGUAUGCCUUCAUGUGGAUCUAGAUUUCGUGGUAUUGUGCGCAAAACGCUAAGAUUGGUAUUUAUUUCAAUUUCAAUACCACUCCCCUUAGCUGGUUCAUGUCUGGAAUUGUGUCUCCACCUAAGAGCCGGUAUCUGUUAGACGCGAAAGCAGUGCAAUGACAAAGGAAAUGCUUCAACGUCUCAUCAUCUUCCCCGCACGCCCUACACAUGCUAUCACAUGCCGCCCCGAUUUCUCAUAAUAAUAACAUCGUCUUCUCACGAUCUGGAUCCCCCCAUAGGAUUUUCGCAGACCUACGAUGUUCUACAAUGUCGGACUGCGUCGACCCGAAAGGCUUCGGGUUAACCACGUUUAUUGAGGGCAGUCCUCUUGCCUUCGCCGCCGAAUCGUCUGCCCUUUCAUUUCCCUUACUCCGUUGCCAUCCUCAGAGAAGGCGUUAAUCUCCUUACACUGCAAGACUGUUCGUGACCUUACCGUCCUGGUUGUUAUUGCCCUUAUGGCAAUUUUACUGUCGGUAAAGAUGUUCACACUCGACGUCCUCGCUUUAGCACAUCAGCAACUUAAUCCAAUAAAAAAAAUAUUUUUAAUAAUACAAAAAUAUAAA